CUAGCGUUGUUCGGAUUCACUGGGCGUAAAGGGUUCGUAGGCGGGUUUUUAAGUCAGGGGUGAAAUCCCGAGGCUCAACCUCGGAACUGCCUUUGAUACUGGAAAUCUUGAGUCUGGGAGAGGUGAGUGGAACUGCGAGUGUAGAGGUGAAAUUCGUAGAUAUUCGCAAGAACACCGGUGGCGAAGGCGGCUCACUGGCCCGGAACUGACGCUGAGGCACGAAAGCGUGGGGAGCAAACAGG
rnacentral:rRNA from 1 species